rnacentral:misc_RNA from 1 species
UUUCCGUAGGUGAACCUGCGGAAGGAUCAUUCAUAAUAAGUGUUUUAUGGCACUUUUUUAAAUCCAUAUCCACCUUGUGUGCAAUGUCAGGGUUGAUUUUUCUCUCGAGAGGAUCAACCCCAAACAUCAACUAUAUCUCAACUCUUUGUCUGAAAAAUAAUAUGAAUAAAACAAUUCAAAAUACAACUUUCAACAACGGAUCUCUUGGCUCUC